AUUGAACGCUGGCGGAAUGCUUUACACAUGCAAGUCGAACGGCAGCACGGACUUCGGUCUGGUGGCGAGAGGCGAACGGGUGAGUAAUGUAUCGGAACGUGCCCAGUCGUGGGGGAUAACGUAGUGAAAAUUACGCUAAUACCGCAUACGAUCUAUGGAUGAAAGCGGGGGAUCGCAAGACCUCGCGCGAUUGGAGCGGCCGAUAUCAGAUUAGGUAGUUGGUGGGGUAAAGGCCCACCAAGCCAACGAUCUGUAGCUGGUCUGAGAGGACGACCGGGCACAGUGGAGCUGAGACCCGGUCCAGACUCCUACGUGAGGCAGCAGUGGUGAAUUUUGGACAAUGGGCGAACGCCUGAUCCAGCCAUUCCGCGUGCAGGAUGAAGGCCCUCGGUUUGUAAACUGCUUUUGUACAGAACGAAAAGGUUUCUACUAAUACUAGGAGCUCAUGACGGUACUGUAAGAAUAAGCACCGGCUAACUACGUGCCAGCCGCCGCCGUAA
rnacentral:rRNA from 1 species